rnacentral:tRNA from 1 species
CCUGUGGUGUAGCGGCCAAGCAUGCGGCCCUCUGGAGGCUGCGACCACGGUUCGAAUCCGUGCAGGGCUA